CAGGCGAAGCCGCCGGCGGCAUCGCGGCACCCGGCGGCCUGGGCGCACCGCCCGCUGCCGGGGCUGCGGUAGCUGCAGGGGCAGAGGGGCUCCUCUGCCCCCUUCCAGGCGAAGCCGGCCCGCUCGGGCUUGCAGUGCGUCAGGACAGCGGCACCGAACCACAUGCCUGUGCGGGUGAGCACAGGGAGAUCCUCGCUCUCUGCCUAUGACCCAAGCUGGAAAGAUGCGACUCUGUUUGCAUUAGGAAGCUUUAUCAUCUAGCAUUUAUAUCUCUAGUUCGUCACUGGAUCUAACCUUAAAUGUACCUAAACUAAAUGAACCAUUCCUUUAGCCCUUUGAUAUUUCUUGGUGAUGUACAAAAGCUACACUUCUACAAAUACCUGUCAGCUUACUAUCUUGAGACAUUUUCCCGAAAUGUGGUUGGUGGGUUUGGGAGAGACGAGAGGUUGCUACAGCUUUACUACUGUGGUCUUGCUGGGGAGUGCUGACAAGACUUUGCCUAAUCUGCCCCUGCAAUCCUAGAGCUUCAGUUUGUUUUCUCUUUCAAAAUUGAGUUCAUUUAUUACAGCUGAAUAGAAACUAACCAUUAUAAAUAGAAGGAAUAAUAUAGAAGCCCCCAAAUUUCCAUUUUAUGCUUCAAACCUAAGGCUCUGUCCCUGGAGAGGAGAACGCAGCUCAGGUCAUGAGAACAUUUGCUCCUUUGCUUCUCUUCUCGGCUGUCAGCAAGGGCAUGAUUUGAGCCAUCUGGGAUGGCCUCUCUGCCAGGUAAUUGACGGGUAGUACUGGCUCAUUUCACACAGGCCAUGACUUUAAUUUCGUAGGCUAUAUUUGAACCAGCAAUUUAGAAAAAACAGGUUAGCCACCAGUGCCCCAGGCAGCCCAGUCUCAUCGUCAGAGCUCGUACCGCACGGAAAGAUGAAAACACUGCAUGCCAAAGCUGAAGGCUUUCGCCAGCAGGAAAUAAGAGACAGUAGCUGUAUGUCUGUCUACUUGAUCUGCCUGUAUACCUGCUCUUCUCUCCUACGGCUGCCCCGAGAGUCCUGCAAAAUAUUUAAAAAAUAACAGGUCUACUACAUCUCCAGAAAACAGCUGUUCCUCUGGUUUUGAAUGUUCUUCUAGUUCUUACUUUUAAGUAAAUAAGAAAACACUCUUUAAGUGUCUUCACGGGGCUUUUCCUGAAGAAAUCGUUUCUUGAAAGAGAGGAUUAGCUACUUGCACACAAAUGCUGGUACCAGUCAGUGUGAGAGGCAACUAAACUUCUACAUAUAAAGAAGACUUUAUUACAUGGAUGUGAAUGUUAUAUGGCUGAUUGAUGUGUAAGUCCUAAUGCAGCUGUUUUGCUCAGCAGUAAAAUCUUGUUUAGCUGUGGUUGUUCCUUAGUCUUCUGCCUGUAAGAUAUGAGCCUUUGAAAUACAGUGGCUUGCUUUAAUUGUAAUUUUACUGAGAGCCAUUAGGUUUUUUGUUUCAUUAUGUAACUGUAUCUGUCUUAAAAUAAUAUGUACAUUUUGACUAAGGAGUAAUGAGAGAAGGGCUGAAUUAAUAAGACUACUUUUCUCUUUUA